rnacentral:lncRNA from 1 species
CAGAAUGUGUUUUGACUCAGUUUAAUGUCUUUUUCAGGCUGAUGAUCUUUCUUCUACAUUUCCUCGCUGAUCACCUGAGGCUUGCCCCACAGCCAUGGGGAAUCAGAUGAGGGCAAUGCUGAUCUAUCUGAAGUACAAAGACACCUUCCUCUUGACCACUGUCCUUGGGUUGGGGCGGAUGCAAGGUAGGAGGAGCAGAGGGCUGAGCCAGGACAUCGUCCACCAGAGAAGUCCGGCUGGCUCCUAACCUGUCAUUUCUGAGAAUCUGCCACCUGACUUAUUUGGAUGCCUUCAUGGAGUACUUUAGCCAG